AUUACCUCUUGAUCAUCUUGCUGGGUUAAAUCACUUCUUCUCCGAUUACACAAAUGAGAAAGAUGGAUGAUUCGAGAUAAGGGUUUUCGUUCUUUGAAAAAAUCGGCCAUAUGCCUGGUGUCAAGAGUAUAUAUCGUGAGCUACAAUGCCACAUAAUCGAAUUGUCAAUCGGAAGUAAAUAUGGAUAUGAGUAUGCAUAUAUAACAACAGUGGAAUUCAAACUCUACCUGAAUUGGAUGGCAAGGAAAUAUGGAUAUGAGGAUUAUGCAUUCCAACAGUGAAGUCCAAAUUCCACCUAUGACUACACAUGAAUGAAUGCUAAAAAGACGACACAAAUGGGAAUCACAAUAAUUUAGGCUACCUUACCACCAUGUCUAUCUUUUCGACCUGCAAUAUCAGUCGUCAUUCAAUCUCGAUGUAAUCUACAACUAGCUAGUGUUCGUUGCACUAAAGUUGUUCGGAAUGUGAACUUGGAGUUGCGCCAUGACUAUUUGUUUCCGUGGAUAGGAGCAAGGGAACUUGAACGUAUGAAGAACACAACUCGUGAAAUUGGUAGGAAGAAUGGAUCGAUUGUUGGUUAUGAUUCCGUAUAUGCUGUCUAUAUAACAGAUAAGAGGCCAAGGUCGAUAUAUGAAAUUCAUGAUGCAUGAGAGGCGGAAGGAUAUUCCUUUGAUUGUUAAUGGUGCCUCUAGCAUAGCUCAACCUGGUGGGCUAGCAUGUCUCUCCUCAUAUGGCAUCAAGGAACUUGAGCAAGGAACAUUAAACAAUUCAACGAUAAUAAGGAAUCAACGUCUCGCAAGUCAAAAUGUGGAUCACGGUUUUUCACAUGUUAUCCUUGAAGACGUAGCUCGAGUUGUAGGUGUGAUGGUUGACAUGUGCGAAAUAAGGAAAGAGUUGGAUAGCUUCAGAAGAGAUAACGAAGUGGCAGGAAAUAGAAGAAUGGGCCGAGGUUUAUAUCUUGAAAUAAGUUAUUGAGCUAUUAUCUAUGCAAAGACUACGUGUAAUCGAAUGCUAUGAUUCAAGACCCGGUCAACGACCGGGUAUUGAUCUAGUUCCAGUUGGAGGUUAAACUUAACUCAUUUUUCUACCA